GGUGAACGCUGGCGGCGUGCUUAAGACAUGCAAGUCGAACGGGCUCUUCGGAGCUAGUGGCGCACGGGUGAGUAACGCGUAACUGACCUACCCCAAAGUCGCGGAUAACGAUUCGAAAGAAUCGCUAAUACGUGCUGUGCUGUCAGAUCCUGUUCUGCCAGUAAAGAUUUAUUGCUUUGGGAUGGGGUUGCGUUCCAUCAGCUAGUUGGUGGGGUAAAGGCCCACCAAGGCGACGACGGAUAGCCGGCCUGAGAGGGUGGCCGGCCACAGGGGCACUGAGACACGGGUCCCACUCCUACGGGAGGCAGCAGUUAGGAAUCUUCCACAAUGGGCGAAAGCCUGAUGGAGCGACGCCGCGUGAGGGAUGAAGGUCUUCGGAUCGUAAACCUCUGAAUCAGGGACGAAAGACACUUUAUGUGGGAUGACGGUACCUGAGUAAUAGCACCGGCUAACUCCGUGCCAGCCGCCGCGGUAACAC
rnacentral:rRNA from 1 species